rnacentral:rRNA from 1 species
GGGAAUUUUCCGCAAUGGGCGAAAGCCUGACGGAGCAAUGCCGCGUAAAGGUGGAAGGCCUACGGGUCGUCAACUUCUUUUCUCGGAGAAGAAACAAUGACGGUAUCUGAGGAAUAAGCAUCGGCUAACUCUGUGCCAG